ACUAAAAAGAUUAUUAUUAUUAGUAAGAUUAUUGUUAUUAAUGUUUACAGAUUUAAUAAAGUAUUAAAAUCUUAUUCUGUCUUUUCUUUAAUAUACUUUGACAAAGGCUUUGAAAUCACAGAUCACAAGAAAUGGUUUCAUUAAAUGAGGAAAGAAUAUUUUUCCCACUGGGUGGAGCUUAGUGUCAAGAUGUACAAGCAGUUUAAUCUGAGGGAGAAUGUCAGAACUCAAUAGCAUCUAGUCUGAAUAAGUCUUUCAGAUUUUUCAGAUUUCAGCUGUCAUGGUUCAUUUCAUUCUCCUCAGUCUUUGGUGGAUGUGUAUUGGUCACACAGAGGCAGACAUCAUAAAAUCUUUCUCACAGACUGAAAAUAAACAUGUUGAAGACAGUGUUACUCUGUCCUGCAGUUACAAAGAGUAUACGGGCACUGUAAAUAAUUUAUUCUGGUACAGACAGUACCCCAAAUCCAAACCGGAGUUCCUGCUUUACAUCUUGCCCCAAGGACAUCUCAGUGAAAAUAGACCACCCAGAUUUACUGCCGAAGUUAAUCAAGACAACAAACAGGUGGAUCUGAAGAUCUCCUCUGCCGUAGAGACAGAUUCUGCCGUGUACUACUGUGCCCUGGAGCCCACAGUGACAGGAAAUCUAACUAUAUCAUACAAAAACCUCCGUUCUAUCAUUAAAGAAAGAUGAAGCCUCAAAAACUUAUUUCAUCCAGUCUCAUAGGUCAGUGCAUAACCGCCACAAUACAGUCAACAACAGUUUACAUUACCCAAAUGACUGAAAUAGCAGAUAUUUUUAUAUGUACACUGAGUUUUUCUGUCAAUUCAGAGUAUCUCACCUGAUUUGAGUUUUGUCUUGCAUGCAGAUUAACUGAGUUCUUGUGGUUAUUACAUUGUAUUGAUGGUAUUUAGUCUGCUCAAAUUCAGAGAUUAAUUUGAAGAGCUCAUAUGAUGUAUGGUUUCCAUUAUUAAGCUCUUACUAUACUGUUUUAGGAGGAAAUGUGCAGCAUUGAUUUUCAAAGUCAUUUUUUUUCUCUUUAUUAGAUGUUGUUCUUUUUUUGCUAAAAUAUCAGGUCUUCGUUAUUUUUUAACAAAGAUUCGAAACACUGCAACAAAAACCUGAAAUCAUUAGCAGCAGACAGAUUUCAAAUCAGUUUUUGAAACACUGACAUAAAUCCAAGUGUGAUGUCUACACUUGAAUCAAGUAAAAUGAAACAUGAAGGUGAUGUUUCAGAAUACAUAUGUGUGAGUUUAUGCACUGACAAAGCUAGAAUCUACUUAACAUUAAUAAAAAAAAACAUCUUACCUCUGAACAUGCAGUGACUGCUGAAUGUCAUUUUAACAGGUCUGAAUAUAAAAAGUAAGAUAAAUAACUUUCCUAUGGGGCGGAGCUUAA